ensembl:misc_RNA Metazoa_SRP Metazoan signal recognition particle RNA
GCCGGGUGUGGUGGUGCGUGCCUGUAAUCCCAGCUACUCGGGAGGCUGAGGCAGGGGAAUUGCUUGAGCCCAGGAGGUGGAGGUUGCAGUGAGCCAAGAUGGCACCACUGCACUCCAGCCUGGGUGACAGAGCGAGACUCCAUCUCAA